rnacentral:rRNA from 1 species
UACGUAGGGGGCUAGCGUUGUCCGGAUUCAUUGGGUUUAAAGGGAGCGUAGGCGGACUUAUAAGUCAGUGGUGAAAUCUCCUUGCUUAACAAGGAAACUGCCAUUGAUACUGUAGGUCUUGAGUACAGUUGCCGUUGGCGGAAUAUGACAUGUAGUGGUGAAAUACUUAGAUAUGUCAUAGAACACCGAUUGCGAAGGCAGCUAACGAAGCUGUAACUGACGCUGAGGCUCGAAAGUGCGGGGAUCAAACAGG